AUCGUGUUACUUGUUUGUCCCUGUGCCGUGGUACCGGGGCAGAAGGAACAGAAGCCAGGAAGCGUUGGUUUGGUUUCCCGAUCAGUAUCUCAUGGCAGUGAAGUCGUGACGGCAAGAACUCAAGGUAUGUGGAUAAGCACAUGUGCCCAGGGAAGCCAGAGAAGGGCAUCAAGUCAUCUGCAGCUGGAGUUACAGGCAGUUGAGAACCUCUGGACACAGAUCCUGGGAACUGAACUCAGGUCCUCUGGAAGAACAGUGAACACUCUUAACGUUGGAGCCAUCUCUGGAGCUCCACUGGAAGAUCUAUGAAGGCGGAGAUAAUCGUUGGAACUGUACCUUUGAUGAGCCUCUUAUUCGUUCGGUGGAGUAUUGGUGCGUCAUAAACGUUCAAAACUCAGCAGUGGUGGGAAAAGAGAGAAGAGCAGGAAAGAAGAGGGAGAGAGUCCAGAAGCACAGCUAACCAUUGGAGCUCAGAAUCUGUGGGUCCUUGGGGCUGGCCAGCAGCCAAGGCCCACCACCCACACCAGCACUUUCUGAGAGAAAGGUUGGCUGUGCCCACAUCACACCUUGGGACCACAGGAACAUCCUGUCCCAGCCUCCAACUUGCUGCCUGCCGCGACCCAGCACUCAGGGACUUUCCCAAACCAAUUCUUGCUGUGUGGUUGGUGACUCAGAACCAUUGCUGUUGUCCAAGGUAUCAUCUGUAAAGUGCUUCCUUGGAAGAGAAAAUGUUUGGGACAGCUGGAAAGGGAGCUCCCAGGCUGCAGCCACAAGGAGCCUUGUUGUGUGUGUGAGAACACAGGCUCCUUAUUUCCCUCUCUUCCCCUCGGCUGUGUUUAUUUAAAGCUCUGCUGCCACUGUGGGGUGCGUGCCCAGGACUCCAGGCAAGGCCCUUGGCAGCAGCAGGGAGCAGGCCCGGCACUUACUGCAAGGACCACAGUAGUCAUGGGCACAGGCCUCAGGCCAGGAACCAGGGAG